rnacentral:rRNA from 1 species
CCGUAGCCCAAGAGAUCGGGAUAACACCUGGAAACAGAUGCUAAUACCGGAUAACAACAGAUGAUGCCUAUCAACUGUUUAAAAGAUGGUUCUGCUAUCACUCUUGGAUGGACCUGCGGUGCAUUAGCUAGUUGGUAGGGUAACGGCCUACCAAGGCGAUGAUGCAUAGCCGAGUUGAUAGACUGAUCGGCCACAUUGGGACUGAGACACGGCCCAAACUCCUACGGGAGGCAGCAGCG